rnacentral:rRNA from 1 species
GACGAACGCUGGCGGCGUGCUUAACACAUGCAAGUCGAACGGAAAGGCCCUGCUUUUGUGGGGUGCUCGAGUGGCGAACGGGUGAGUAACACGUGAGUAACCUGCCCUUGACUUUGGGAUAACUUCAGGAAACUGGGGCUAAUACCGGAUAGGAGCUCCUGCUGCAUGGUGUGGGUUGGAAAGUUUCGGCGGUUGGGGAUGGACUCGCGGCUUAUCAUCUUGUUGGUGGGGUAGUGGCUUACCAAGGCUUUGACGGGUAGCCGGCCUGAGAGGGUGACCGGCCACAUUGGGACUGAGAUACGGCCCAGACUACUAUGGGAGGCAGCAGUGGGAAAUAUUGCACAAUGGGCGGAAGCCUGAUGCAGCAACGCCGCGUGCGAGAUGACGGCCUUCGGGUUGUAAACCGCUUUCGCCUGUGACGAAGCGUGAGUGACGGUAAUGGGUAAAGAAGCACCGGCUAACUACGUG